AUGAGCAAUGUUAUGGAAAUUGAUGGAGUUUUAAAUUUGAAUGUGUCUAGUUACAAGGAUUAAUAAAUCACAUUACAUCUUUCUUUCAACCAAAAAUGCUUUGCGCUGGUCAGGGGGUACUCGGCAGAAUUUUUUCUUCAAAGGGGGUACGUCACUGAAAAAAGGUUGAGAACCACUGCUUUAGCUUAUAGUGUGUUUGUUAAACACUAUAUAGCAUGCAUUAUAAAACCUUUAGGAAAAUUACCUGUACACCUUAUUGUAAUUAUUUUAGAUGUUUCUGAAAGAUUGAUUGAGAGCAGGACAGAAGAGUCCUCCCUGAGGAGUGGCCCCAGUGGAUCCCCAGAUUCCCACAGAGAAGAUUCAGACAGCGAGAGAGAGGAGCCUCCAACAACGAGUGGCGGCCCAAGUGGACCUCCAGACAUUUCCAAAUCAAGAACUUAUAGUCCAGUCCAGCCACGUCUGAAACUCUAUCCGAGGACACUCCAGGGCGACAGGCGCAGACACUUUCAGGCAUCGUGGUACUCUAUCCACACAUGGCUUGAAUAUUCACUGUCACAAGACUCAGCAUACUGUUAUGCAUGCAGGCAUUUUGGCCUCCCACACACAGAGUCAGUGUUUACGUCAGCCUUGGGUUUUAAAAACUGGAAAAAGGCAACAUUCAGAGAUGGAGGGUUUUGUGGACAUGCAAAGGGAGAGGGUCACACAAAUGCAAUGAUUGCUUGGAAAGAAUAUGAGAGAGCAGAUAAAGCUGAUGCCUUGUUAAUGAGUAGUUUAAGUAAAGAACAUCAUAAGCAGAUAGGAGGAAAAUCGUGCCUACAUAAAAAGUUUAGCAGAAGUCCUACUGUUAACUGCAACCCAGAAUAUUUCACAGAGGGGACACAAGGAGACAGUAGAUGCAGACAACAGGGGAAACUUCUUGGCUAUAUUGGACAUGAUUGCUAAACAUGACCCAGUUGUUAAAAAGAAAAUGACAGGGCCUCGCAAUGCAAAAUACACGAGCCACCAAAUUCAAAAUGAAAUUUUGGAUACAUUAGCUGAAAUGGUACGCGCUUCCAUCAUAAACGAAGUCAAGGAGAGUGAAGUCUUUUCCCUUAUGGCAGAUGAAACUAAAGACCUUAAAAAAAAGGAGCAGAUCUCUUUAGUGUUAAGAUAUUAUUAUGCAGGAGCCGUAAAAGAGAGCUUUUUGCACUUUGAAUCUGCAGACCGCCUAGAUGCUGCAGGCCUGACGCAUAAAAUAAUACAGGUACUUGAGAGAUGUGGCUUAGAAUACAAAAGUAACCUGAUCGGGCAAUCAUAUGAUGGGGCUUCUGUCAUGAGUGGCAAGCACUCAGGCGUUCAGGCUCGUAUUAAAGAGGUGGCAAAACAGGCCUUUUAUGUACAUUGUAAUGCCCAUUGUCUUAAUCUUGUGGACACAGUUAAGGCAGUACCACAAGCUGAAUGUUUUUUCGCAUUGUUGCAGAGACUCUAUGUAUUUGUGUCUGGCUCGUACAUUCACAACAAGUGGCUGAACAUACAGAAAGAAAUGUAUCCUGGAGCACCCAGAGAACUUCAGCGAUUGAGUGAAACAAGGUGAGCUUGCCGGCAUAUAGCUUGCCACACUGUUCUUGAUAGACUACCUGCCAUCAUGCGUCUCCUUGUAGAAGUGGCUUCAGAAAACAGUGGCGAUAGAAGCAUUGAUGCACGAGGCCUGCUCGCUCAAUUUGACCUGCAGUUCAUUGGACUUGUGAUGCAAGGUGUCUCUCUGACAUGCUACAGUCUCCCUCUCUUGAUUUGUGUUCAGCUGUGGAUCUAGUUCAAGCCCUUGUGCAAAAUGUUCAAGCUUACAGGGAUGAAUCCUACUUUGAAGGACUCUGGAGAGAAAUCUUAAAUACUGCUGAAAAAUGUGAUGUAGAGGUGGAACCUACUUCAUAAAGAAAGACAAAACAGAGCCGGUGGCUAGAUGGACAUGCUGUCAUGUCCUCAACGGGUGAGCGUUCAGAGCAGAGUAUGGACACUUUCCGUACCAGCAUAUUUUACCCUGUGCUGGAUAACAUGCUCAGUGAGCUAAACAGACGAUUUGCUAAACCAAAUUGUGAAAUAAUGUUGGGAAUCCAAGCCUUAAAUCCGUCAAGUAAUACAUUUUGCCAAGAGCAAGCUCUAUUUGCAUUUGCUUCUAUUUAUGAAUGUAACACAGAUGACCUCAAACACGAGUUACACCAAAUGAAAAGAAUCCCAGAGAGAAAAGUCAAAUCUGGCAUAAAGAAGGCCUCUAGCCUAGUAGAACUCACUAAAUUCGUUGAACCCUUUAAAGAGGUAUUCCAUGAGCUCUUCAGGUUAUGCAAAAUUGCUAUUGCCAUACCAGUCAGUACUGCCUCCUGUGAACGCAGCUUUUCCACACUCAAGUUAAUAAAGACACACUUGAGAUCCACUAUGGAUGAUGAUCGACUGAGCAGUCUGGGUAUUUUAAGUGUGGAGUCCAGACGAGCAAAGUCCCUGGACUUGGAUGAAUUUGUUAAUCGAUUUGCUGCUAAUCACAAUAACCGCAGAAUACGUCUGAAAUGAGUGUGUAAACAAUGAUAUGAUGAAGUGAUGAUGUAAAUAGUUUCAAUAAUGCAGUUAGAAGUUCUGCAUUGGAAGAUUCGAUGUAAAUAAUCCCCAAGGGCUUCGAGGCAAUUGUUUUUUUAAGAGGCACUAUUUUUUAUAACACAAAGGAAAGUAUCAAAGUGUUCAAUGCCUCUGUUAUAUACAGGAGGCUAAUCUUUAGAUCUUUAAGGACAGUCAUUGAAGUGUUCAGUUUUCAUGAGAUGUCACUGUUUGGAUUCUCUGUCUGAUAUGUGUAAAUGUGGCUCAAACUUGAAUCAUUCUUGCAGACUCCGCCUAAUACCCAUUGUGAAUAUGAUGUUUGUUAUUAUGUGUUUGAUAGAUGUUUAUGGAUCGAAUUGAAGAAAAAUUGACACUGCUUAUUUAAACAGGCUGUUAAUGCUUGUCAUAUUUACAUUUGUUGUAAUUCAGCAAAUUGUAUUCAGGAUGUUAUUUUAUUUAUUUUCAUAUUUCUAUACAUUAGCUCAGUAUUUUAUACUUUUUGUUAUUUAAAGAUAAAUCCAUAUUGUGAUCAGACUUGAUUAAAAAAACAUUGCACUUCUAAUUUUGCAUCCUUGUUUUGUAUUCCUGAUGAUACA